rnacentral:rRNA from 1 species
AGAGUUUGAUCCUGGCUCAGAACGAACGCUGGCGGAGUGCUUAAUACAUGCAAGUCGAGCGAGAAAGCGAUUUUCGGAUUGUGAGUAAAGCGGCGAACGGGUGAGUAACACGUAAGCAACCUGCCCCUAAAUCUGGGAUAACCUUUCUAACGGGGGGCUAAUACCGGAUGUGGUUAUUGAGAUGCAUAUUUUGAUAAUUAAAGGUGACCUCUACUUGUAAGUUAUUGUUUGGGGAUGGGCUUGCGUACCAUUAGUUAGUUGGUAGGGUAAUGGCCUACCAAGACAGUGAUGGUUAGCCGACCUGAGAGGGUGAUCGGCCACAUUGGGACUGAGAUACGGCCCAGACUCCUACGGGAGGCAGCAGUAGGGAAUUUUGCGCAAUGGACGAAAGUCUGACGCAGCAACUCCGCGUGAGGGAUGAAUGCCUUCGGGUUGUAAACCACUGUUGGCAGGGACGAAAUAGAUGUAUGCUAAUAUCAUACAUUUUUGACGGUACCUGUCGAGGAAGCCCCGGCUAACUACGUGCCAGCAGCCGCGGUAAUACGUAGGGGGCGAGCGUUGUUCGGAAUCACUGGGCGUAAAGCGAGCGUAGGCGGGUUAGUAAGUUAGAAGUGAAAUGUAUCGGCUCAACCGAUAAUCUGCUUUUAACACUGCUAGUCUUGAGUAUGGAAGAGGAAGAUGGAAUUCCAGGUGUAGCGGUGGAAUGCGUAGAUAUCUGGAAGAACACCAGUGGCGAAGGCGGUCUUCUGGUCCAAUACUGACGCUGAGGCUCGAAAGCUAGGGGAGCGAACAGGAUUAGAUACCCUGGUAGUCCUAGCCGUAAACGAUGGACACUAGAUGCUGGAUGCGUAAGAUGUUCAGUGUCGUAGCUAACGCGUUAAGUGUCCCGCCUGGGGAGUACGCUCGCAAGAGUGAAACUCAAAGGAAUUGACGGGGGCCCGCACAAGCGGUGGAGCAUGUGCUUUAAUUCGAUGCAACGCGAAGAACCUUACCUGGCCUUGACAUGGGAGUGAAAGUUUUCAGAGAUGAGAGCCUUUCCUUUUGGAACACUCCACACAGGUGCUGCAUGGUUGUCGUCAGCUCGUGUCGUGAGAUGUUGGGUUAAGUCCCGCAACGAGCGCAACCCCUAUCCUUAGUUGCCAGCACGUAACGGUGGGAACUCUAGGGAGACUGCCUGGAAUAACCAGGAGGAAGGUGGGGAUGACGUCAAAUCAUCAUGGCCCUUACGGCCAGGGCUAGACACGUGCUACAAUGGUUGGUACAACGGGCUGCUAAGUCGCAAGGCUAUGCCAAUCCCUAAAAACCAAUCUCAGUUCGGAUUGAAGUCUUCAAUUUGACUUCAUGAAGUUGGAAUCGCUAGUAAUCGCGGAUCAGCAUGCCGCGGUGAAUACGCUCCCGGGCCUUGUACACACCGCCCGUCAAGCCAUGAAAGAUGAUAGUACCCGAAGUCGUUAUUCUAACC